GCUUGGCCCUAAACCUCAGUAGUUAGAUAACAAAACUACUCGCCAGAAUACUACAAGCAACAGCUUAAAACUCAAAGGACUUGACGGUGCUUUACACCCCCUAGAGGAGCCUGUUCCGUAAUCGAUAAACCCCGAUCCACCCCACCCUCUCUUGCUCAGCCUAUAUACCGCCAUCUUCAGCAAACCCUGAUGAAGGUCACAAAGUGAGCGCAAAUGCCAUCCACCGCAAAAACGUUAGGUCAAGGUGUAGCCUAUGAGACGGUAAAAAAUGGGCUACAUUUUCUACCUCAGAAAAUUCCACGAAAACCCUUAUGAAAUUUAAGGGUCCAAGGAGGAUUUAGCAGUAAAUUAAGAAUAGAGUGCUUAAUUGAACCAGGCCAUAAAGCGCGCACACACCGCCCGUCGUUCUU
rnacentral:rRNA from 1 species